AACGUAGGAGACAAACGUUAUCCGGAGUUACUGGGCGUAAAGGGCGUGUAGGCGGUCUGUUAAGUCUGGCGUGAAAGCUCUCGGCUAAACCGGGAGAGGUCGUUGGAUACUGGCAAACUAGAGGAUGGUAGAGGCGUGUGGAAUUCCGGGUGUAGUGGUGAAAUGCGUAGAGAUCCGGAGGAACACCAGUGGCGAAGGCGACACGCUGGGCCAUACCUGACGCUAAAGCGCGACAGCAUGGGGAGCAAACGGG
rnacentral:rRNA from 1 species